UGAACAAUUAUGCUUGUGUCUUUAUUGUUAUUUAUUCCAAUUUAAUAGGGAUUUGGCCUGCACAUGUGGCUGCCUAGAAUAAGGAAAACAGUCCCCAGCCUCCCUUGCAAGUAAGGGCGACCGUGUGACUAAGUUCCAGCCAACAGGAAGUGAGCAAAAAUGACAGCUGCAACUUCUAGAUCAAUCCUCAGAAGGAGGAAUUUGUCCCUUCUUUCAUGUGCUGUUUGGAACACAGACCAUGGGGGCCAGGAUGAGACCAUGGCAGGUGUGGAGCCAGGAGGAGCCUGGGUUCCUGGGCACCGUGGGACAGAGCCAUCAUACCUGUGCAGACUACUGUCUCUGGACUGCUCCAUAAGUUAUCGGCGGGCACAACAUCUUUGUUUGUAUGUGGUUCUGAGGAUCGAACCCGGGCCUCACGCAUGCCAGGCGAGCACGCUACAGCUUGAGCCACAUCCCCAGCCCGCCAAAUUGCUCUUGAACGCAGCUGUAAGAGUCCUUCCUGGUUUGCAUUGGAGGUUGGCAAGCUUCCUGUUAAGUGUCAGUUGCAGUUGGCCCAGUUGACCUGAAGGCUGUGGACUGUGGACGCUCUGCUCUAUGUUGUCCCCAACAUUUGAUAUCAUCAGCUUGGCCAAUCUGGUAAAUAAAAUGUAGUCUCACUGAGGCUUUAAUUUCUCUUCCCUAAUUACAAAUGAGGU